GAGCAGUGCUUACACAGUCAAGGUCUUUUAUGUUUCUCACACGAUCCUGCCAGUGAGGGGCUGUGGGGGCACGAGGAGCUGGGAGGGGACAGAACUAAGACAGCUGACAUGAACUGGCCAAAGAGACAUUCCAUGCCAUAUGCUGAACAAUAAAACUGGGGGAGUUGGCUGCGGGGGACUAGCUGGGCAUUGGUUGUUUGUUAGACAGACACGAAGCCCUUCAGGAAGUACAUGAAGAUGGAUGAGACCUACUGAAACUUCUUCCACAUUCUCUUUCCUCUGGAAGUCUUGCCAGUGUAUACCACUGCCUGAUCAUGUUCCUCAAGAAGGCUGCUUUCCCAUCCGUAGAAUUGCAAACUAGAAAUGAGAGAGAAGCACAACAGAAAGUGGACAAAGAACUAAGAAAGAAAUUGGGUAUUGUUAAAGAAAUAAGAAUCCAUCUCAAGAGGAUAAAUCCCAGUGAACUUAAAGAGGAUUCUGGCAAAGCUUCUCCAUUUAAAUGGAAGUUCCCCAAGAAGGCUGCUUCCCCAUCUGAAGAACUGCAAAGCAGAACUGAGAGAGUAGCACAACAGAAAGACGACAAUGAACUAAGAAGGAAAUUUGGUAUUGUUAAAGAUAUAAGAAUCCAUCUCAAGAGGUUAAAAUUUUAAUGCAAUUCCAUUGUUCAAGUUGCUUAUCUGUAGCAAAGUUAGCAAUCAAUAACAAAUUACUGUUUCUCUUAGAUCUAUUAUCCCUUGUUCAGUCUGUAGCAUUCAACUCACACCUUGUCAACUGAAUCUUAAACCAACGUCUACUACUCUUUCCAAAAUCUUUGAGAAAGGCCCACUUUUAUUGUCCCUGAGUGGGAACAACAUUGGUUUACACUCAGCAUUCAUGGAAAAUAGGCUGUAACUGUUUCAUGAAAUAUUUCAAGGCCAGAUAAAGCAAAACUUUCCAGAGUAUCUUAAAAGAGCAUAGGUAUGAAUUCCUUUUCUUUUUUCCUUUCUGCCAGUACCAAAAUAAAGGAUCUGGUGUUAAAAAGAAAGAAAGAAAGAAAUUGUGCUGGCUUUUUCUUAAUUUUUUCCCCAGUAAAUAUGCCAAGGUAGGUUGGUUCUUGUUUUAGCACUGUUUCUCCACCUAUCCAAGUUUUCAUUUCUCAACACGUGUCCCAAAAAUCAAGUAUGAUCAAAUACCUAAUGAAACACUUCAUGUUUAUUCUAGAGCUGUUUUACACAGAUACUUCCACUUGCCUGUCUGAUACUGAGAACUUUUCAGAUACCAACAGUGUUAUGAGAAAUUCUCAUUAACCUUAAUUAUUCCUGUCGCUGUCUUUUCACUAUUUUCUACUGAUAUCCUUCUCUUUGCAGAUAACAUUCCAUUUGUUGCAUUUUGUCAUUUCUGGAGUCUUUUUUUCUUUGUAAAUAGAAUUAUUCAAGUAAUAAAAAGAUGUUUUACC